rnacentral:rRNA from 1 species
ACUCAAAUGAAUUGACGGGGACUUGCACAAGCGGUGGAUUAUGUGGUUUAAUUCGACGAUAAACGAAGAACCUUACCAAGGUUAGAAAUCCUAACGAAAGAUCCCAGAAACGGGAUCCCUCGCAAGACGGUAGGACAGGUGAUGCAUGGCCGUCGUCAGUUCGUGGUUUGAAUUGUUCCCUUAAGUGGGGUAACGAACGCAACCCUCGUCGUGUGUUAUAAGUGUCACACGAGACUGCCCCGACCUUUGAACAUGAGCGCUAUAUUUUAUAGCUGGCUCGUGAGUAAAGGUCGGGGAGGAAGGGGAGGAUGACGCCAGGUCAGCAUGUCCCUCUGAUACCUUGGGCUACACACAUAAUACAAUCGCCAUUACAACGGGCAGCGACGAGGUAACUCUGAGCAAAUCCUAAUAAAAAUGGCGCCAGUUCGGAUUGGGGGCUGCAACUCGACCCCAUGAAGUUGGAAUCGCUAGUAAUCGCGGGUCAGAUAUACCGCGGUGAAUACGUUCUCAAGUCUUGUACACACCGCCCGU